CCCCGGUAAACGGCGGCCGUAACUAUAACGGUCCUAAGGUAGCGAAAUUCCUUGUCGGGUAAGUUCCGACCUGCACGAAUGGCGUAAUGAUGGCCAGGCUGUCUCCACCCGAGACUCAGUGAAAUUGAACUCGCUGUGAAGAUGCAGUGUACCCGCGGCAAGACGGAAAGACCCCGUGAACCUUUACUAUAGCUUGACACUGAACAUUGAGCCUUGAUGUGUAGGAUAGGUGGGAGGCUUUGAAGUGUGGACGCCAGUCUGCAUGGAGCCGACCUUGAAAUACCACCCUUUAAUGUUUGAUGUUCUAACGUGGACCCGUAAUCCGGGUUGCGGACAGUGUCUGGUGGGUAGUUUGACUGGGGCGGUCUCCUCCUAAAGAGUAACGGAGGAGCACGAAGGUUGGCUAAUCCUGGUCGGACAUCAGGAGGUUAGUGCAAUGGCAUAAGCCAGCUUGACUGCGAGCGUGACGGCGCGAGCAGGUGCGAAAGCAGGUCAUAGUGAUCCGGUGGUUCUGAAUGGAAGGGCCAUCGCUCAACGGAUAAAAGGUACUCCGGGGAUAACAGGCUGAUACCGCCCAAGAGUUCAUAUCGACGGCGGUGUUUGGCACCUCGAUGUCGGCUCAU
rnacentral:rRNA from 4 species